CCUACGGGGUGCAGCAGUGAGGAAUAUUGGUCAAUGGACGAGAGUCUGAACCAGCCAAGUAGCGUGAAGGAUGACUGCCCUAUGGGUUGUAAACUUCUUUUAUAUGGGAAUAAAACGUUCCACGUGUGGGAUUUUGUAUGUACCAUAUGAAUAAGGAUCGGCUAACUCCGUGCCAGCAGCCGCGGUAAUACGGAGGAUCCGAGCGUUAUCCGGAUUUAUUGGGUUUAAAGGGAGCGUAGGUGGAUUGUUAAGUCAGUUGUGAAAGUUUGCGGCUCAACCGCAAAAUUGCAGUUGAAACUGGCAGUCUUGAGUACAGUAGAGGUGGGCGGAAUUCGUGGUGUAGCGGUGAAAUGCUUAGAUAUCACGAAGAACUCCGAUUGCGAAGGCAGUUCACUGGACUGCAACUGACACUGAGGCUCGAAAGUGUGGGUAUCAAACAGGAUUAGAUACCCUAGUAGUC
rnacentral:rRNA from 1 species